rnacentral:miRNA from 1 species
CUAGUUUCACUUGUUCUGCAC